UACGGAGGGUGCAAGCGUUGUCCGGAUUUAUUGGGUUUAAAGGGUGCGUAGGCGGGCUUGUAAGUCUGGUCUGAAAGUUGGUGGCUCAACCAUCAAGGGUGACUGGAUACUGCAGGUCUUGAAAUUGUUGGAGGCCACCGGAACGGAUCGUGUAGCGGUGAAAUGCUUAGAUAUGAUCCAGAACACCAAUUGCGAAGGCAGGUGGCUACGACUGAUUUGACGCUGAGGCACGAGAGCAUGGGGAGCAAACAGG
rnacentral:rRNA from 1 species